rnacentral:rRNA from 1 species
AUACUGAGUGGCAAACGGGUGAGUAUAAUGUGGGAAUCUGCCUUUUGGUUUGGAAUAACACGGGGAAACUUGUGCUAAUACUGAAUAAGCCUUUACAGGGAAAGUUUUAACGCCGAAAGAUGAGCCCGCACUUGAUUAGCUAGUUGGUAAGGUAAAAGCUUACCAAGGCAACGAUCAAUAGCUGUUCUUAGAGGAAGACCAGCCACAUUGGGACUGAGACACGGCCCAGACUCCUACGGGAGGCAGCAGUGGGGAAUCUUGCACAAUGGGGGAAACCCUGAUGCAGCGAUGCCGCGUGAGUGAAGAAGGCCCUUGGGUUGUAAAACUCUUUCGUCGGGGAAGAAAAUGACUGUACCCGAAUAAGAAGGUCCGGCUAACUUCGUGCCAGCAGCCGCGGUAAUACGAAGGGACCUAGCGUAGUUCGGAAUUACUGGGCUUAAAGAGCUCGUAGGUGGUUAAAAAAGUUGAUGGUGAAAUCCCAAGGCUUAACCUUGGAACUGCCAUCAAAACUUUUUAGCUAGAGUGUGAUAGAGGUAAGUGGAAUUUCUAGUGUAGAGGUGAAAUUCGUAGAUAUUAGAAAGAACACCAAAUGCGAAGGCAACUUACUGGGUCACUACUGACACUGAGGAGCGAAAGCAUGGGUAGCGAAGAGGAUUAGAUACCCUCGUAGUCCAUGCCGUAAACGAUGUGUGCUAGACGUUGGAAAUAUAUUUUUCAGUGUCGCAGCGAAAGCAUUAAGCACACCG